UAGGGAAUCUUCGGCAAUGGACGAAAGUCUGACCGAGCAACGCCGCGUGAGUUAAGAAGGUUUUCGGAUCGUAAAACUCUGUUGUUAGAGAAGAACAAGGACGUUAGUAACUGAACGUCCCCUGCCGGUAUCUAACCAGAAAGCCACGGCUAACUACGUGCCAGCAGCCGCGGUAAUACGUAGGUGGCAAGCGUUGUCCGGAUUUAUUGGGCGUAAAGCGAGCGCAGGCGGUUUCUUAAGUCUGAUGUGAAAGCCCCCGGAUCAACCGGGGAGGGUCAUUGGAAACUGGGAGACUUGAGUGCAGAAGAGGAGAGUGGAAUUCCAUGUGUAGAGGUGAAAUGCGUAGAUAUAUGGAGGAACACCAGUGGAGAAGGCGGCUCUCUGGUCUGUAACUGACGAUGAGGCUCGAAAGCGGGGGGAGCAAACAGG
rnacentral:rRNA from 1 species